rnacentral:rRNA from 1 species
GACGAAGGAUGCAAGCGUUAUCCGGAUUCAUUGGGUUUAAAGGGUGCGUAGGCGGUCCUGUAAGUCAGUGGUGAAAGCUCUCAGCUUAACUGAGAAACUGCCAUUGAUACUGCAAGACUUGAGUACAGAUGAUGUUGGCGGAAUAUGACAUGUAGCGGUGAAAUGCAUAGAUAUGUCAUAGAACACCGAUUGCGAAGGCAGCUGACAAAACUGUAACUGACGCUGAGGCACGAAAGUGUGGGGAU